CCCCUCUAACCCCCGGUUAGGCGUUGCUCCGAAAUAUCAACCGCGCUGUCAAACACGUUUACAGCACCACAUUUCGCCCUCAAAUCAGGUAGGACUACCCGCUGAACUUAAGCAUAUCAAUAAGCGGAGGA
rnacentral:misc_RNA from 1 species